UACGAGGGGGGCAAGCGUUGUUCGGAAUUAUUGGGCGUUAAAAGGGCGCGUAGGCGGUGUCGCAAGUCCGUGGUGAAAUCUCUAGGCUCAACUUAGAGACUGCCGCGGAAACUGCGGUGCUUGAGUGUGGGAGAGGUGCGUGGAAUUCCCGGUGUAGCGGAUGAAAUGCGUAGAUAUCGGGAGGAACACCUGUAGGCGAAAGCGGCGCACUGGGCCACAACUGACGCUGAGGCGCGAAAGCUAGGGGAGCAAACAGG
rnacentral:rRNA from 1 species